GUUGUGUGGUGUGGAUGUGGUGCCCGAGUAGUGCGGGACUCGUGAAAUCUCGUGUGAAUCUGCCAAGACCACUUGGUAAGCCUAAAUACUACUUGAUGACCGAUAGUGCAUAGUACCGUGAGGGAAUGGUGAAAAGUACCCCGGGAGGGGAGUGAAAUAGUACCUGAAACCGUGUGCCUGUAAGCCGUCAGAGCCUUGUGGGGUGAUGGCGUGCCUUUUGAAGAAUGAGCCUGCGAGUUAGUGAUACGUGGCGUGCUUAACCCGUGUGGGGUAUGCGUAGCGAAAGCGAGUCUGAAAUAUUGGCGUUUGUCGCGUGUUCUAGACCCGAAGCGGGGUGAUCUACCCAUGGUCAGGUUGAAGCAGAGGUAAGACUGUGUGGAGGACCGAACCCACCAGGGUUGAAAACCUGGGGGAUGAACUGUGGGUAGGGGUGAAAGGCCAAUCAAACUCCGUGAUAGCUGGUUCUCCCCGAAAUGCAUUUAGGUGCAGCGUCGCGUGGUCCCUGGUGGAGGUAGAGCUACUGGAUGGCCGAUGGGCCCUGUGGGUUACUGACGUCAGCCAAACUCCGAAUGCCAUUAGGUGUAGCGCGGCAGUGAGACUGCGGGGGAUAAGCUUCGUAGUCGAGAGGGAAACAGCCCAGAUCAUCAGCUAAGGCCCCUAAGCGUGCGCUAAGUGGGAAAGGAUGUGGAGUCGCGGUGACAACCAGGAGGUUGGCUUAGAAGCAGCCAUCCUUGAAAGAGUGCGUAAUAGCUCACUGGUCAAGUGGUUCUGCGCCGACAAUGUAGCGGGGCUCAAGCGUACCGCCGAAGCUGUGGCAACGACACGCAAUGCUGGCGCCAGGAACUGGAGUGCUGGUGUGUUGUUGGGUAGGGGAGCGUCCUGCACGAGGUGAAGCCUGGAGGGAACUUCUGGUGGAUUGUGUGGGAGUGAGAAUGCAGGCAUGAGUAACGAAUCUGCGGUGAGAAUCCGCAGCGCCGAUUGACUAAGGGUUCCAGGGCUAGGUUUAUCCGCCCUGGGUUAGUCGGGUCCUAAGGCGAGGCCGACAGGCGUAGUCGAUGGACAACCAGUUGAUAUUCUGGUACCGCGUUAUGACCGCCCAUGCUGAAGUCAUUGUGCUAACCAAUUUGCUCACGCCACCAUGAUUCCUUCGGGUUUUGUGGUGUGUGUGGGUCUUGGGGUCCCGGUGAUUGUAGGCAAGCGUGUUAACAGGGGUGACGCAGACAGGUAGCUGCAGUGCGCCGAUGGUUGUGCGUAUUUAAGGUUGUGGCCCGCCUCCCAGGUAAAUCCGGGGGGCACUAGGGGUGAGAACUGAUGAGGGACACACGCGUGUGUGGACUUGUGGUGAUCCUAAGCUGCCGAGAAAAGCCUCGACGUGAGGGCAUAACGCGCCCGUACCCUAAACCGACUCAGGUGGUCAGGUAGAGUAUACCGAGGCGUUCGAGUGAAUCGUGGUUAAGGAACUCGGCAAAAUUCCUCCGUAACUUCGGGAUAAGGAGGACCCCGUCACUUCCCCGCGCCCAGCGUGCGGGUGGGGUUGUGGGGUCGCAGAGAAUAGGGAGAAGCGACUGUUUAUCAAAAACACAGGUGCGUGCGAAGCCGUAAGGCGAUGUAUACGCACUGACGCCUGCCCGGUGCUGGAAGGUUAAGAGGAACUGUCAACACUCCGUUGGGGUGUGAAGCGGUGAAUUUAAGCCCCAGUAAACGGCGGUGGUAACUAUAACCAUCCUAAGGUAGCGAAAUUCCUUGUCGGGUAAGUUCCGACCUGCACGAAUGGCGUAACGACUUCCCCACUGUCUCGACCAGGAGCUCGGCGAAAUUGCAGUACGAGUAAAGAUGCUCGUUUCGCGCAGAAGGACGGAAAGACCCCGGGACCUUUACUAUAGCUUGGUAUUGGUGUUCGCUUGGACUUGUGUAGGAUAGGUGGGAGACUGUGAAGCUGCCGCGCCAGCGGUGGUGGAGUCGUCGUUGAAAUACCAUUCUGGUUCAAGCGGUCACCUCAACCUUGGCCCGUGAUCCGGGUUGGGGACAGUGCCUGGUGGGUAGUUUAACUGGGGCGGUUGCCUCCUAAAAUGUAACGGAGGCGCUCAAAGGUUCCCUCAGCCUGGUUGGUAAUCAGGUGGCGAGUGCAAGUGUACAAGGGAGCUUGACUGUGAGACCGACGGGUCGAGCAGGUGCGAAAGCAGGAACUAGUGAUCCGGCCAUGGCACGUGGGUGCGUGGUCGCUCAACGGAUAAAAGGUACCCCGGGGAUAACAGGCUGAUCUUGCCCAAGAGUCCAUAUCGACGGCAUGGUUUGGCACCUCGAUGUCGGCUCGUCGCAUCCUGGGGCUGGAGUCGGUCCCAAGGGUUGGGCUGUUCGCCCAUUAAAGCGGUACGCGAGCUGGGUUCAGA
rnacentral:rRNA from 1 species